rnacentral:rRNA from 2 species
CUCCAGUGGCGAAGGCGGCUGUCUGGUCUGUAACUGACGCUGAGGCUCGAAAGUAUGUGUAGCUAACAGGAUUAGAUACCCUGGUAGUCCAUACCGUAAGCGAUGAAUGCUAAGUGUUGGAGGGUUUCCGCCCUUCAGUGCUGCAGCUAUCGCAUUAAGCAUUCCGCCUGGGGAGUACGGCCGCAAGGCUGAAACUCAAAGGAAUUGACGGGGGCCCGCACAAGCGGUGGAGCAUGUGGUUUAAUUCGAAGCUACGCGAAGAACCUUACCAGGUCUUGACAUACUAUGCAAAUCUAAGAGAUUAGACGUUCCCUUCGGGGACAUGGAUACAGGUGGUGCAUGGUUGUCGUCAGCUCGUGUCGUGAGAUGUUGGGUUAAGUCCCGCACCGAGCGCAACCCUUAUUAUCAGUUGCCAGCAUUAAGUUGGGCACUCUGGUGAGACUGCCGGUGUCAAACCGGAGGAAGGUGGGGAUGACGUCAAAUCAUCAUGCCCCUUAUGACCUGGGCUACACCCGUGCUACAAUGGAUGGUACAACGAGUUGCGAACUCGCGAGAGUAAGCUAAUCUCUUAAAGCCAUUCUCAGUUCGGAUUGUAGGCUGCAACUCGCCUACAUGAAGUCGGAAUCGCUAGUAAUCGCGGAUCAGCAUGCCGCGGUGAAUACGUUCCCGGGCCUUGUACACACCGCCCGUCACACCAUGAGAGUUUGUAACACC